rnacentral:rRNA from 1 species
UACGGGGGGGGGCAAGCGUUGUUCGGAAUUACUGGGCGUAAAGGGCUCGUAGGCGGCCAACUAAGUCGGACGUGAAAUCCCCAGGCUCAACCUGGGAACUGCGUCCGAUACUGGAUGGCUUGAAUCCGGGAGAGGGAUGCAGAAUUCCAGGUGUAGCGGUGAAAAUGCGUAGAUAUCUGGAGGAAUACCGGUGGCGAAGGCGGCAUCCUGGACCGGCAUUGACGCUGAGGAGCGAAAAGCCAGGGGAGCAAAACGGG